GACGAACGCUGGCGGCGUGCUUAAUACAUGCAAGUUGAGCGGAGCCAUUGAUGAAGCUUGCGAUUCAAUGGUCGAGCGGCGGACGGGUGAGUAACGCGUGGGCAACCUGCCCUCUAGUCUGGGAUAACAGUUCGAAAGGGCUGCUAACACCGGAUAAGCUCACGGAGAGGCAUCUUUCAGUGAGAAAAGUUUACGCUAGAGGAUGGGCCCGCGUCCCAUUAGCUAGUUGGUGAGGUAACGGCUCACCAAGGCGCCGAUGGGUAGCCGACCUGAGAGGGUGACCGGCCACACUGGGACUGAGACACGGCCCAGACUCCUACGGGAGGCAGCAGUAGGGAAUUUUCCGCAAUGGGCGAAAGCCUGACGGAGCAACGCCGCGUGAGGGAAGAAGGCCUUCGGGUUGUAAACCUCUGUCAUGGGGGAAGAAGGAAGUGACGGUACCCCAAGAGGAAGCCCCUGCUAACUACGUG
rnacentral:rRNA from 1 species